rfam:Brachypodium distachyon strain Bd21 chromosome 1, whole genome shotgun sequence.
AAUGUACUCCCUCCUAUCCAUAUUAGUUGUCAAAAUAUUACAUGUAUCUAGACUUUUUUUAGGCAUAGAUACAUCCAUAUUUGGGCAAAUUUGAGACAAUUAAUAUGGAUCGGAGGGAGUACAUU